UGCCCCGUGGUGUAAUUGGUAGCACAGAAGAUUCUGGUUCUUCUAGUUCUGGUUCGAGUCCAGGCGGGGUAACCA
rnacentral:tRNA from 2 species